AAUCAAUGUACUGUAGAUGACAUUUUAUAAUUUUAUGCUAAAUUAAAUUUUAGCAAUAAAGUUUAUUAAUAAUAAAGUUUAUUAAUUUAUCUAGUUAUUCAAUGGUUUAUUCUCCAUGAAUAUGCAAAUUAUAUAAGAACCAGGUUUUUUAUUCUCUGUAAUGCAUCAUUAUAACCACAUGAUAUAGUAGGCCAAUGCUAUUUUAGACAUUAAAACCAAACCUGUUACCUUAUGAAUACUCCUUAGUGACCACAUUCAAUGCUACAUUGGACAAAAUAACCAUGCAGCUGAUCCCUGCCUCAAUUCCUGGAUAUCUAUGAGAUACAAUGAAAUGGUAUUGUUCUAAGCCACAAACUUUGGAGGUAAUUUGUUAAGUAGUGCUAGAAAACUGAAAUAGGACACUUCCAAAUUGUUACAAAGCCAACUUUUGAAACUUUACUUCUAUUCUUCUUCAAGAUGGGUAAUAUGUUAUUAACACAAUUGUCAUCUGUCACUGUCAUCUGAACAUUAUCUCCUUUCGAAUGAUUACCUUAAUUUUUGCAUGUGUUUUUUAGACACCUUUCUUGAUGCCAUGACACCUACUUGAACAAAAGAACUAAAUGGUGGAUAAAUUAUGGCUUUGUGAAAAAUAAAUCAUUUAAACGCAUAUUACUUUAAAGGAAAGACAGAUUUUAAAGACAAAUUAAAAUAAAAAACCUUACGCAGAUUGCAUCAUUUCCAAACCAGUUUGACUGAAAAUGGGUCCAAUGGAUUGUCUGUAUAUCAACUGGAAACAUCUGAAGAAAUACAGGACUCUUUUUUUUUAAUGGUAAAUUUUUGUUUUUGUUUUUUAAUAAUUCUAUAUAAUUUCAAUAUACUCUACCAGAAGAAUAAAAAAUAAGUCAAGAAACCUUAGACAAUGGGUGAAUCUAUAUGGGGGAAAAAUAGUUCAAUCCCAUACAUAAUAUAUCACUAGAAGCAAACAUGCUUUCAUAUUUUUUGCAUUAGUAAAAAUUAAAGUAACAAAUUAUUGAGAUGCCAGAAGCAUUAUUUAGCCAAGCAUACAAAGUAAGUCUACAAAGAUGAAUUCAGAGAUAAGUAGAGGGUAAGAAUUGUAUUAUCACACCACCACAUUUUAAGAAUUCUUAUGCAGACUUUCUAUUUUUAAUCUUUACUUAGAUGUGCUAUAAAUCAUAAAGAAUUAAAUUGAGUUUUUUGAAAGGUAAAAAUGUCUAAAAUUAUAAGCACAUAGAUAUUUAACAAAUGCUCUCCAAAGGCUUAUCAUUUUAUUAUCUAAAAAUCAUUAAAAGAAAAAAGUGAAUGACAGUUAUAUAAGAGGGGAAGUAUUAAAAUCCAUUGUGGUAUAGGAGAGGUAUAUGACAUCAAUUCCUAAGUAAGAAAUAUUAAUUUUCUCAUAAAAAUUCCAAUCACCAGUAAAUUUGUGAACUGAAUACAAGAUUUCCAAAUACAUAGUUUCUUAUCAGCAAGACACCCUGUGGAUAAAAUCCUGAUAUCAUAAAAUUCAGCAUAAAACAUUAAGCUAGGAAUAAGUAAAGAUAAUAAAUCAUAUUAAAGGGUGAAAAAAACUGAACAGUAUUUUCUGAUUAUACAAUAGCAGAAUGAAAUAAGAAAACAAAAAUUGAGUUGAAAUCAAGCAGGCGAUUAAAUAAAUAUUAAGGUACCAAUUUCCUCAAGGCCAUCAAGACAUCCUUAUUUCUCAGACUGUAUAUCAGGGGGUUAAACAUUGGGGUGACAAGAGUGUAGAAAAGAGAGAGAAACUUGUCCAUUCUGGAUGAAUGUUUGGAUUUAGGUCGUAAGUAUGCAAUGACUGCAGUUCCAAAGAAUAAAGUCACAACCAUGACAUGUGAAGAGCAAGUGGAGAAGGCCUUUGCUUUUCCUCUUGCUUAUGGCAACUUCAGGAUGGUGGAGGCGAUCUGACUGUAGGACCCAAGUAUCAACAGAAAAGGGGUCAUAAUAAACACCACAGCAAUUGUGAAGAGCAGCAUCUCAUUCAGAAAAGUGUCUCCACAGGCCAGCUUGAGUAUUGGGGGGAUGUCACAGAAGAAGUGGUUGAUUUGGUUGGAUCUACAAAAGGGCAGAGAGAAAAUCUGGCAUGUCUGCCCUAUCUCAAUCAGAGCACUAGUGAUCCAGCAGGCAGCCACCAGCUGGACACAGGCCUUGUGGUUCAUGACUAGAGGAUAGUGCAAAGGGUUACAAAUGGCCACAUAGCAGUCAUAGGCCAUCACUGUAAGAAGGAGGCACUCUAUGUUUCCAAACGUGAAAACAAAACUCAUUUGUGUGGCACAGGCAAACAGAGAAAUGUGUCUUUUCUGAGUCCAAAGGUUUACGAGCAUUCUGGGGAGAGUGACCGAUACAUAACAGAUUUCCAAGAAGGAAAAAUUACUGAGGAAAAAUACAUAGGUGUCUGGAGAGCUUUGUCAGUCCUGGUUAUGAAAAUGAUGAUGCCAUUUCCCAUCAGAGUUAUCACAUAAACAAAGAAAAAUGUCACAAAAAGAAACAUUUGGAGAUUGGGAAUAUCAGAGAACCCAAGAAGAACAAAUUCCAUUAUUGAAGUGAGAUUUACAUCCACGAGGUCUUUUUGGUGGUCCAUCUGUGAAAGCAGUGCAAUUAGACCUUAACCUUUGUAGAUCUUUUUUCUAAUUCUAAAAACUUAGAGGAUUUUGGGGAAUCUGCACAUAUGACUCUAUCUUCAACUAUUUCACUGCAUUUUAUAUCCUGAUCUCAAAGACCACAAUUGAGAUCCAGUGGAGAACACAUGUUAAAUUCUAAAUGUAUAUACAUAUUUAAUAUCUAACACUAGGCUCGACAUCAGAUGAAAGUGAUGUUUGAGAAUGCUACGUUUUUAUUUUUCAUCUUUUUGGGACACAGAAAAAUUAGUCCAUUUUACUACUCAUGUUAGCACAUGGUGUUCUGAGGCAGAAACAUUUGUACCACAUUUUUUCAGUGGUUGAGCACCGCCAAAUUUUGAAAUGGUAGUUUUUGAUAAUUUCCCAACUCUUCCAUGGAUGGUUUUAGUGUACACAGCAUUUCUUCCCUUUCUUAUGGUGCAGCUGUAACUCUUACUAUAUGUGCAUACACUUUAUUUGAAACCAUUCUAUUUGCGUUUAUCUGUCAAAAUAAACACCACUGUCAUUAGGCAUUAUAAUGCAAGACCUGUUAUCCAAACAUGCAGCAGAUGCUUGAAAAAUGUUUUUCUAACCUAUUUGACUGUUCAAUUAACCAUGACAUAUUUGAAGGAAUUGCACUGAUGUGAUUUCUGAAACUCUGCCUAGUAAAUCUACUAUCCAGUUUCUUGCUAUGUGAGAUGAAUUAUUUUUGACUAAAUUUUAUUAUUUUACUAAUAUAUGAGGAAAGACAGAAGGAAAUCAAAACCGAAAUUAUGAAUUAUUUAUGGCUAAUAGGCAUUUGUUUAAAAUAUAUUUUAGCUGGAGUGUAUGGGAUCAAAUAUAUUGUUACUGUAGGUAGUUGGAUGUACAGAGCCUCAACUUUCCCAUAUAUUGGAAUAUACUUGGACAAUAUGAGUAUUUAAGCAAGACAGGUGAUUAACAUAUUUUAGCAUUCAAUAAUAUUUGGCAAAGCAAAGACGAUUUUAACUAAGCAACUAUUGUGUUAAUAAUAUUUUCUUAUUUUAAAAUAAUCUUGAAUUGUGUGAAUGUCCUCACAUUAUAUUGUAGAUAAAGAAACUGAGGUUCAAAGAUUUACAUGACUAAACUAAAAAAAAAUUAUUCGACCUCCAAGUGUCAUGAGCACUGUGUGGAACUUAAUUCAUAUAUAGCAGAUUUCUAAGAUAGAAAAAUUGACAAGGAAAAAAAUGUGGCUUUCUGGAGGUCAGGGUCAUUUUUUUAUUAGAAAUAUGGUGCUAUUGCCAAUGAAGAUAAUGAUAUAGAUGAUGAAAAACAAUCCAAAUAGCAACCACUGGAAAUGGCAGAACAUCAACUAAGGCCAAGAGAAGAAAUUCCACCAAUUUAUUUAGAUUAUCUUCUGACGGAGCUGACUUCAGAAAAAUAAAAUAAAAUUCCCUAAACUCACCUUUCUUUAGAGACAAGGAUAUUGAGACUCACUAAAAGUGAAUAAUUUGACCAAUUUUACGUAGCUUUGUGAUUGCAAACUAGUGCCUUUUAAUUUUUUUAGUUUUAAAUCCCAUAUCCUUGAUUUUUUAUUCAGGUGAUAUUAAGUAGUUUUAAAAUUUUUCUACAUUUUGCUUCCUUAUUUGUGAAAAUCAAAUGAGAUAAUGCUGAUAAAAUUAUGACCUUUCAAAUUUAAAUAGAUUGAUUAUUUAUUACUUAGGACAUAUAGUAUAAUUAUUAUGAUUAUUAUAUUAUGUUUUUGUUUGUUAUAGCUCAUAACUAGCAAACCUGUAUUUAACACAAAUCAUCAGGCCACCUGUUGAUAAUCACUUUUUUGCAGUCUCACCUUUCAUCUGGGUAAGGUCUAGAUCAAGAGAACCAGGAUCUUAAAAAGCAAAGUUUCCCAGGUUCUCAGUCCUGCUCAGGGCUCAUCCCACACUUGCACAGAUCUUAAUGUGGGUGCCCCCAUCCAUAUUUCACCUAAGCAUCUCUUGGCUCACCACUUGCCCCAGACACUUUCAGUUCUCUGUCCUGGUGGGAUUGGACACUGUCGACCAAAUUUAGCAUGGAUACAGCAUUACCAGUAAGGAGUGCACUUUUCCCCAGAUGACCAAAUUGCAUUAUUUCCUCACUGCCUGCUAAUUCUGUGGGCUCAUGCAGGUUAUACAAUCUCCCAGGACCACAGUGCUCUCAGCUAAGUGACCCAGCUUCUGUUCCAACAUUCAGGUUAGUCAUGAGACUUCAGACAAUUAAUUCAUGUACAAUACCUUGAAGAAGCUCUGGCAUUUAUAAAGAUCUAUGUGUGCUAGUUAUUAUAAAUAAAAACUAAGAUUUUAUUUUCUGAAUUUUACUCAGCCUUCUACACAACUUGAAAGCAUUACCUAAAAUUAACUUUUUUGUAUCACAUGAAGAUUAUGGGAAUGGAGUAAGAUUUAAAGCAGUUAUCAAAUAUUAUAAAAUCCCUAAGCAAUUCACCUUUCAAGCUGUAAAUUCUCCAUGAAUUUUCUGCCAGUAUAGUUUUUUUGUGCUAUCAUCUUUACUUUGCAGACUCUAACAUCUAUAGUAUGCAUCACUAUUUAGAUCUUAGUAUUGCAAUUUCAUCAAUUCCUUUCAUUCGCCUUUUCUUUAAGAGACACUAAAUUACGUGCGUGGAAAGGGCUGUUACCAUUUUUCUACUUGGAUCCAAUACAGAUCCAAGAAAGUUACAGUACACUUAAUAUGGUGCUCAGUAUUAGAUCCUGAAAUGAACUAAAGCAGUAGACAUUAUUUAAAUGAAAUAUUUGUAGUUCCUGCUGUGGCUCAGUGGUAAUGAACCCAACUAGCAGCCAUGAGAAUGGGGGUUCAAUCCCUGGCCUCAUUCAGUGGGUGCAGGAUCCUGGUUGCCAUGACCUGAGGUGUAGGUUGCAGAAGCAGCUUGGAUCUCGCAUUGCUGUGGUUGUGCUGUACACCUGCAGCUCCAAUUCGACCCCUAGACAGGGAAUUUUCAUAUGCCC
rnacentral:lncRNA from 1 species